rnacentral:lncRNA from 1 species
UGCGUACAUAACUUUUUAACAACCUUAGCGGACUCAGUUGGGAUAGCCCUCGAUCAAGGCAUCCCUGAUAACUGGGUAUAAAAAUGAUUUUGGCACGAGCCAAAGUUUUAAGAAAUUCAUAAGCCAUGUUGAUUACUCGAUUUAUAUGAAUUGAUUUUAUUUGGUUGAAACAAGUUGAAAGGUGAUGAAUUUCAGUAUGUUAAACUGUUUUAUCUGUCUCCAUUU